rnacentral:rRNA from 1 species
UGGGGGAUAUUGCACAAUGGGGGAAACCCUGAUGCAGCGAUGCCGCGUGAAUGAAGACGGCCUUCGGGUUGUAAAGUUCUGUCGCAGGGGACGAAGAUGACGGUACCCUGAAAGAAAGCUCCGGCUAACUACGUGCCAGCAGCCGCGGUAAUACGUAGGGAGCAAGCGUUGUCCGGAAUUACUGGGUGUAAAGGGAGCGUAGGCGGGAGGAUAAGUUGAAUGUGAAAUCCAGAGGCUCAACCUCUGGCUGCGUUCAAAACUGUUUUUCUUGAGUGAAGUAGAGGCAGGCGGAAUUCCUAGUGUAGCGGUGAAAUGCGUAGAUAUUAGGAGGAACACCAGUGGCGAAGGCGGCCUGCUGGGCUUUUACUGACGCUGAGGCUCGAAAGCGUGGGUAGCAAACAGG